rnacentral:piRNA from 1 species
UGGUGAACAAGUUUUCUUUUCUGAUUC